GGAAAAUCGUCGCCAGUGGUGAUAUUCGUGGAUGGUGCAUCCCCCCGUCAAGAACCUGCCUUCCGUGCAUAUUUGUGAACUUCAUCAAGAAAGAGAAAAACAGAGAUACAAAAGCGCUUUCGUUGGGACUUUCCGCAUCAAGAAACAGAGAAGAAGCUGACUUCGUGGAUAACAUGGAAAGCCCAAUUGGAGUCACCAGGAAAACAACACUACGAGGGAAGGAACUAACUAAGCAACGGAUGGCCACGUGUCCUUUACUGAGCCAGAAGCUUAAAACUCAGUGAAGGAGUU